AAACAGACGAGGAACGCGUCCGAAUCCACAUGAACCCCACACACCGCCAUGUCCGCCCGGCCUAUUCUCGGAAUCAAAUGUAAACUCGAUUUAACCAAACCGGAUCCUCCCCACUUCCCGACAACAUGGACAACAAUCGGUGCCGGGUGAAAAGCGGGCGUCGCAACUGGGUUCCGGAACAUUCACCGAGUGAAAUUGUAGCAGUGGCAGAAAAAGCGAGUGAAAACACAAUGCGUUUGAAGUUUAAGCCACAUUGCUAUGUCUACCAAAGACCCCUGCCAGAAACAGGCCUGUGAAAUACAGAAGUGCUUACAAGGACUCAUUGGAAAGAUGAUCGAACAAACACUAGUGAUCUUCUUGAAGCCAGCUCCACAAGCAUUCAGGCAAAACUCCCACAAAAUCAACUACAAUGGACUGGACACUGUGUCCGGAUGGCCAAAAAGCGUCUCCCCACCAGGUCCUGUUUUCUUAACCCUCAAAUGGCCAACGUUCCAGGGGUGGACAAAGAAAACGCUACAAAGAUACUCUGAAGCUCUCCUUGAAGCACGCCAGCAUUCAAAUUAAUGAUGGAGAGGAGCUUGCUACUAAUCGUUCAAAAUAGCAAUGAAUUGUCCAGCAAGCUGCAUGAAGCUUUGAGUCCAAGUGCCUUAAUGAUGAGACAGAGCAGCAGCAGAGAAGGAAAGAAAAGGAUGCAAAUCCUGCAUUCUGGAUCCCGCUAUAGUGUGGGAUGUCCUGCCCCAUAUGCCCAAAGAUCUGCGGGUCAAAAACAGCAUGUUCAGUUACAUGAAGACUCAUGGCAGAAACCCAUAAUCCUGAGUAGACGUCAUCCUCCGAUGGAGGGACAGCCAAUGACAGCGAUGGUGACUAUAUAAAUGGUAGAAUAUAAAAUAAAUUGAGAUGUACUCUGCAACACUGGUCUGUUGUGAAGUCCACCUACCCACACUAAAAAAUAACUUCACCCUUUUAUUCAUUUCCUUUCCAAAAAACUGAAGAGCAAAAUGUCAUGGACGGAAUUUAUGAUUUUCCUUUUACUGCCGUGAUCAAUAUGUUUGUGUAAAUGGGGUGUGUUUUUCAUACCCUUGAUUUGUGUGUCACAAUUAAAUAAUUCAGCAGCAAGCUUUUGUGAGUUUAAAAUAAAGGUUAGUUAUUCU